UUAAUAUGGUGACCUCCUGGGAGCAGGGGCCAACCAAGUUGCCUAAGGAGGGGUGAACCGGCCCAGGUCAGAAAUAGAGCAGGUCAAAACUCCCG
ensembl:misc_RNA Metazoa_SRP Metazoan signal recognition particle RNA